rnacentral:lncRNA from 1 species
ACAAACAAUGAUAUAAACUCGGGAGAACGGGGAUUGAGGUUAAUGAAGAAUUCAAAAGAUGAGUUUAAGGCAUUUUGGAAAGUUUUGUCGUUGUUGAAUGCAAAGAUUAUUACAUUAUCAUAUUUAUCCUUCUCAUUCAACUUGUUGUUGUUGAAUGCAAAGAUUAUUACAUUAUCAUAUUUAUCCUUCUCAUUCAAGAGACACUGGACAAAUUCGACAGGAUCUUUCAGCUUCUCAGGAUCAGUAACAAGCUGUUUU